GAAACGGUUGAGAGAUGUCGCGAUGGUGCAAGUGAAUUUGAGUACAGGAUGGAAAUCAGUCGUGAAGGAAAUGAAGUCCUAGAUGCU